rnacentral:rRNA from 1 species
UACGUAGGCAGCAAGCGUUGUUCGGAGUUACUGGGCGUAAAGGGUGUGUAGGCGGUUUUUUAAGUUUGGUGUGAAGUCUCCCGGCUCAACUGGGAGGGUGCGCCGAAUACUGAAUGACUAGAGUGCGGGAGAGGAGAGUGGAAUUCCUGGUGUAGCGGUGAAAUGCGUAGAUAUCAGGAGGAACACCGGUGGUGUAGACGGCUCUCUGGACCGUAACUGACGCUGAGGCACGAAAGCGUGGGUAGCAAACAGG